GACGAACGCUGGCGGCGUGCCUAAUACAUGCAAGUCGAACGCUGAAGAGAGGAGCUUGCUCUUCUUGGAUGAGUUGCGAACGGGUGAGUAACGCGUAGGUAACCUGCCUUGUAGCGGGGGAUAACUAUUGGAAACGAUAGCUAAUACCGCAUAACAAUGGAUGACACAUGUCAUUUAUUUGAAAGGGGCAAUUGCUCCACUACAAGAUGGACCUGCGUUGUAUUAGCUAGUAGGUGAGGUAAUGGCUCACCUAGGCGACGAUACAUAGCCGACCUGAGAGGGUGAUCGGCCACACUGGGACUGAGACACGGCCCAGACUCCUACGGGAGGCAGCAGUAGGGAAUCUUCGGCAAUGGGGGCAACCCUGACCGAGCAACGCCGCGUGAGUGAAGAAGGUUUUCGGAUCGUAAAGCUCUGUUGUAAGUCAAGAACGGGUGUGAGAGUGGAAAGUUCACACUGUGACGGUAGCUGACCAGAAAGGGACGGCUAACUACGUG
rnacentral:rRNA from 1 species